AUGGUUUUUGUGGCCUUCAGUUUGGGUGGACAUAAUGUUGGCCUUUUCACAAAUGUUGGAGUAAAUGGGGAAGGAUUCUGGUCAAGUGAGCAAAAUGAGAGUUUGGAGUUGAUCUCUACAUGCUCAGUGAGUGAUGCCUCUUGUGUUUGUGCAGUGGAAAAAUGCCAGAAGUGGAUUAUGCUGUCCUAAGUGAAUGGUUUGACUGGAUCCAGAACAACACUGAUGUUUCAGUUGAUUUGAUAGUUUAUUUGCAGACAUCUCCUAAAGUUUGUUAUGAGAGGCUAAAGACACGAUGCAGGGAAGAGGAAAAAGUCAUUCCUCUGCUCUGGGUGGGUGGCUCAGCAGAAGCAACUGUCAGCUGAAGAUCUGUGCAAAGAGCUGAAUUUUGGGCCAUGUGAAAUUUUAGCUUGAGAAUAAAUCCUCCUGUAAUGGAUUUGAAGAGCCCUUGUGUUAUUUUGCAGCUCUGCUGAAGAGGAGGGGAGCAGUUAUGAAUGAGCAAUGUGGUCUUCAUAAAGAAAAAAAAGACCAGUUGAUGACAGGCAGAAGAGCUUUUAGAGGAAAAUGAGUUAUGAGAAAGUGAACUGGGAAUUUUAGGGAAAUGUAUUGACACGGAAAGUGCCUCCCAUACAUACAUUUUACAGCCUUGCCCUUUUUGUCCUUACUUUAUUGUAUUUUUCUUUGUGAAACCUUGGUCCACAUUUUACCUGUGGGAGAGAAUCAUGUUUGCUUGAUCUUAAAAGGAGCUGAGAGCCCUGUGCUCCUGUAAGCUGUGUCUUUGAGGUCUUCCUGGAGUUAAACUUUGUACUGGGAAUUAAUUUUUCUCAAAAACCUUCUGAGGCUUUUUGUUUUUUGUUAGUGGAAGAUACGUGUUGCAGGCUUCUAUAUGUGUCUCUUAACUACUUCCCAAAUGGAUAAAGAUUGCAAUGUGUGUGUUAUCCCUAGGCAUUUGUGUUAUUCCAGUAC